rnacentral:rRNA from 1 species
GGAUUCCCCUAGUAACUGCGAGUGAAGCGGGAAAAGCUCAAAUUNAAAAUCUGGUGGUCUUUGGCCGUCCGAGUUGUAAUUUAGAGAAGCGUCUUCCGCGCUGGACCGUGCACAAGUCUCCUGNNACGGAGCGUCGUAGAGGGUGAGAAUCCCGUCUUUGGCAUGGACACNCCAGGGCUUUUNCGAUGCGCUCUCGAAGAGUCGAGUUGUUUGGGAAUGCAGCUCAAAAUGGGUGGUGAACUCCAUCUAAAGCUAAAUAUUGGCGAGAGACCGAUAGCGAACAAGUNCCGUGAGGGAAAGAUGAAAAGCACUUUGGAAAGAGAGUGAAACAGUACGUGAAAUUGUUGAAAGGGAAACGCUUGAAGUCAGUCGCGUCGUCCGAGACUCAGCCUCGCCUCGGCUUGGCGUACUUCUCGGCCCGACGGGUCAGCAUCAAUUUCGCCUCUCGGACAAUGGCGAGGGAAAAGUGACACCUUUACGGUGUGUUAUAGUCUCUCGUCGCAUGCGAGGGUCGGGAUUGAGGAACUCAGCACGCGCCCUCGGGCGUCGGGGCUUUCGCCCACGAUACGUGCUUAGGAUGUUGGCGUAAUGGCUUUAAACGACC